UGUGUAAAAAUGAACUCUUGUCAGAGUUUCAAAAGAAUUAUUUUUCUGUAAAAUGUGCUGUUAUAUAGAACUAGAUGAUUAGUGAUGACUAAUGAAUAAAAUGCAUUCUUUCACAUGGAAAUAGGACUAUAAUAAAUGAAUGUCCUGUAGGUGAUUGCGCCUAUGGCAAUUUUAUUAAAGAUUAAAGUUUGAUUGACCUUUGUUAGGGUGAUUAACCUUUCUGAAAUUAAAAACUAGAUCUGAAUUAGUCACCCAAUUUAAAUGCAAA
rnacentral:lncRNA from 1 species